rnacentral:rRNA from 1 species
GACGAACGCUGGCGGCGUGCUUAACACAUGCAAGUCGAACGGAAAGGCCCUGCUUUUGUGGGGUGCUCGAGUGGCGAACGGGUGAGUAACACGUGAGUAACCUGCCCUUGACUUUGGGAUAACUUCAGGAAACUGGGGCUAAUACCGGAUAGGAGCUCCUGCUGCAUGGUGGGGGUUGGAAAGUUUCGGUGGUUGGGGAUGGACUCGCGGCUUAUCAGCUUGUUGGUGGGGUAGUGGCUUACCAAGGCUUUGACGGGUAGCCGGCCUGAGAGGGUGACCGGCCACAUUGGGACUGAGAUACGGCCCAGACUCCUACGGGAGGCAGCAGUGGGGAAUAUUGCACGAUGGGCGGAAGCCUGAUGCAGCAACGCCGCGUGCGGGAUGACGGCCUUCGGGUUGUAAACCGCUUUCGCCUGUGACGAAGCGUGAGUGACGGUAAUGGGUAAAGAAGCACCGGCUAACUACGUG